CUGUGUUAUCUUUCUAUGUUUCCUCAUUUGUACAUCUGUGAUUGUUACUGUGACCCUGUACCCUGAUUACAUCAAAAGGUUAUUGACACAAAAGAGCAAGGAGAAGAACGGUGGAAGCGAAGUUUAAAUUGAUGACAGCGCAAAGGAAUUGGAAGAGGAAACGUUAUAAUAAUACCAUCAGUUUAUGUGAUUUAUUUGUUUCCACACAUACAGU